rnacentral:rRNA from 1 species
AGCGAACGCUGGCGGCAGGCUUAACACAUGCAAGUCGAACGCCCCGCAAGGGGAGUGGCAGACGGGUGAGUAACACGUGGGAACGUACCCUUUGGUUCGGAAUAACUUGGGGAAACUCAAGCUAAUACCGGAUAAGCCCUUAUGGGGAAAGGUUUACUGCCGAAGGAUCGGCCCGCGUCUGACUAGCUAGUGGGGGAGGUAACGGCUCACCAAGGCGACGAUCAGGAGCGGGUCUGAGAGGAUGAUCAGCCACACUGGGACUGAGACACGGCCCAGACUCCUAAGGGGGGCAGCAGUGGGGAAUAUUGGACAAUGGGGGCAACCCUGAUCCAGCCAUGCCGCGUGAGUGAUGAAGGCCUUAGGGUUGUAAAGCUCUUUUACCCGGGACGAUAAUGACUGUACCGGGAGAAUAAGCCCCGGCUAACUUCGUGCCAGCCGCCGCGGUAA